GUGAAUCAUCGAAUCUUUGAACGCAUAUUGCGCCCGCGGCUUCGGCCAAGGGCAUGUCUGCCUCAGCGUCGGGUUAAUACUCGCCCCACACACUCCCCUCAAAAGGAGCUAAAUGUGUUUGGGACGGAUCUGGCCGUCUCAGCACCUUGUCUUGCUUCAAAACCAAGGCAAGGGACUGGGUUGGCUGAAGUACAGAGGUUUGUUCAAGGACCCGUCAAGGGCCGCAGCUGGUUAGGCAGUGAUGCUAUCGAUUAGCUGUUGGUCUGGGACCUGGAUGAACCCUCAACCAGGAAACAUAAU
rnacentral:misc_RNA from 1 species